rnacentral:tmRNA from 2 species
GGGGGUGUCAGGUUUCGACGGGGGUACUGAACGUGACGGAUCGCGUGCCGGGGCUGCCUACUCAGCCACGUAAAAAUGAGUGGGAAUCAUAGCUGCCAACGACAACAGCUACGGCCAGAUGGCCCUCGCGGCGUAAGAACCCGCGACAUCCCCGCCCGAGAGGCUCCAAUAGGAACGGGGGUGUGAUUACUGGAGCUGGCGUGCGCGCCUCGCCCCGAGCGCACACGUGAGAUGAGGGGAUCGCACCGGAGAGGGCCUGCCGUGGGCAUGCUCCGGGGCUAAAUCAAAUACAGCGGCUACGCACGUAGUGGUCCCACCGGAUGGCUCGCGGACCCGGGUUCAAUUCCCGGCGCCUCCACUC